rnacentral:ncRNA from 1 species
UACCAGUCUCGAUGACUAACGGACGAGCGCACCGUACCCGGCCAGCGACAAGACGGUGCAUG